UCCCACUCUCCUUUUAUCUACUUACACUUCCUUUUGUUUUUUUUUUAAUAGUUUUUACUAUAACAAAAAAGGGAAUGUAAGUUGACAAAAGAGGAGUGGGAACAUACAAUUUCUAACAAAGGGAGUGUAAGUGGAUAAAAGAAGAGUGGGA
rnacentral:miRNA from 1 species